UGGCUCAAAUCAAAGUCUACACAUUAGACUAAACCAGUAAACUGCCUGUUACCCAGUAGUGAACAUGAAUUUCAGCAUUCUGCUUUUUAUGAGCAUUGCUCUAUUGGUAGUUUUACAAAGCGUCGAAUCUGUACCGGUCGCUGAUCCACAAGAUGCCCCAUCUCCCGACAGUGCAGCCAUAGGUGAACCUGCUGCCGCUGCCAAAAAUGGUGGAUCACUCGAUUUUGUGCUAAAGCUACCAAUCUCGGUCAAAGUUGGCACUGCUGAAAUGCAGGAGAUAUCUUAAUGAUGAAUUUAAUUAUUUUGUGGAAUCAUAGCUCUUUUAUAAAAAUGUAGCAUAGUCGUAAAUAAAAGCUAAUUCGUAAAUAAA